rnacentral:rRNA from 1 species
UACGGAGGGCGCAAGCGUUAAUCGGAAUUACUGGGCGUAAAGCGCACGUAGGCGGUUUGUUAAGCCAGCUGUGAAAUCCCCGGGCUCAACCUGGGACUUGCAGUUGGAACUGGCGAGCUAGAGUAGGGUAGAGGGGUGUGGAAUUCCAGGUGUAGCGGUGAAAUGCGUAGAUAUCUGGAGGAACAUCAGUGGCGAAGGCGACACCCUGGACUCAUACUGACGCUGAGGCGCGAUAGCGUGGGGAGCAAACAGG